rnacentral:rRNA from 1 species
UGGGGAAUAUUGCACAAUGGGGGAAACCCUGAUGCAGCGACGCCGCGUGAACGAAGAAGGUAUUCGUAUCGUAAAGUUCUGUCCUAUGGGAAGAUAAUGACAGUACCAUAGAAGAAAGCUCCGGCUAAAUACGUGCCAGCAGCCGCGGUAAUACGUAUGGAGCGAGCGUUGUCCGGAAUUAUUGGGCGUAAAGGGUACGCAGGCGGUUUAAUAAGUCGAAUGUUAAAGAUCGGGGCUCAACCCCGUAAAGCAUUGGAAACUGAUAAACUUGAGUAGUGGAGAGGAAAGUGGAAUUCCUGGUGUAGUGGUGAAAUACGUAGAUAUUAGGAGGAAUACCAGGAGCGAAGGCGACUUUCUGGACACAAACUGACGCUGAGGUACGAAAGCGUGGGGAGCAAACAGG